ACCCGCUGAACUUAAGCAUAUCAAUAAGCGGAGGAAAAGAAACCAACAGGGAUUGCCCUAGUAACGGCGAGUGAAGCGGCAACAGCUCAAAUUUGAAAUCUGGCUCUUUUAGAGUCCGAGUUGUAAUUUGCAGAGGGCGCUUUGGCUUUGGCAGCGGUCCAAGUUCCUUGGAACAGGACGUCACAGAGGGUGAGAAUCCCGUACGUGGUCGCUGGCUAUUGCCGUGUAAAGCCCCUUCGACGAGUCGAGUUGUUUGGGAAUGCAGCUCUAAAUGGGAGGUACAUUUCUUCUAAAGCUAAAUAUUGGCCAGAGACCGAUAGCGCACAAGUAGAGUGAUCGAAAGAUGAAAAGCACUUUGGAAAGAGAGUCAAACAGCACGUGAAAUUGUUGAAAGGGAAGCGCUUGCAGCCAGACUUGCUUACAGUUGCUCAUCCGGGCUUUUGCCCGGUGCACUCUUCUGUAGGCAGGCCAGCAUCAGUUUGGGCGGUCGGAUAAAGGUCUCUGUCACGUACCUCUCUUCGGGGAGGCCUUAUAGGGGAGACGACAUACUACCAGCCUGGACUGAGGUCCGCGCAUCUGCUAGGAUGCUGGCGUAAUGGCUGU
rnacentral:rRNA from 1 species